GAUGAACGCUGGCGGCGUGCCUAAUACAUGCAAGUCGAGCGAAUGGAUUAAGAGCUUGCUCUUAUGAAGUUAGCGGCGGACGGGUGAGUAACACGUGGGUAACCUGCCCAUAAGACUGGGAUAACUCCGGGAAACCGGGGCUAAUACCGGAUAAUAUUUUGAACUGCAUGGUUCAAAAUUGAAAGGCGGCUUCGGCUGUCACUUAUGGAUGUGCCCGCGUCGCAUUAGCUAGUUGGUGAGGUAACGGCUCACCAAGGCAACGAUGCGUAGCCGACCUGAGAGGGUGAGCGGCAACACUGGGACUGAGACACGGCCCAGACUCCUACGGGAGGCAGCAGUAGGGAAUCUUCCGCAAUGGACGAAAGUCUGACGGAGCAACGCCGCGUGAGUGAUGAAGGCUUUCGGGUCGUAAAACUCUGUUGUUAGGGAAGAACAAGUGCUAGUUGAAUAAGCUGGCACCUUGACGGUACCUAACCAGAAAGCCACGGCUAACUACGUGCCAGCAGCCGCCGUAA
rnacentral:rRNA from 1 species